AUGAACGCUGGCGGCGUGCCUAACACAUGCAAGUCGAACGAAGCGUCCCGCCCGAAGAAGAGGAGUGCUUGCACAAAUCGGACUCAAUUGGGAUGACUUAGUGGCGGACGGGUGAGUAACGCGUGGGUAACCUGCCUCACACAGGGGGAUAACAGUUAGAAAUGACUGCUAAUACCGCAUAAGCGCACACUACCGCAUGGUAGAGUGUGAAAAACUUUCGUGGUGUGAGAUGGACCCGCGUCUGAUUAGCCAGUUGGCAGGGUAACGGCCUACCAAAGCAACGAUCAGUAGCCGGCCUGAGAGGGUGAACGGCCACAUUGGGACUGAGACACGGCCCAAACUCCUACGGGAGGCAGCAGGUGGGGGAUAUUGCACAAUGGGGGAAACCCUGAUGCAGCGACGCCCGCGUGAGCGAUGAAGUAUCUCGGUAUGUAAAGCUCUAUCAGCAGGGAAGAAAAUGACGGUACCUGACUAAGAAGCUCCGGCUAAAUACGUGCCAGCAGCGGC
rnacentral:rRNA from 1 species